GGUGCAUGGCCAGGAGAGGAUGGAAGGAAACAUAUUCAGAAUCUGGAGGGAGAGGAACAUAUCCCUGUCUCAGUUUGACAGUCACAAAGUUGGAAAUGCAGUCGUGGAGCCCGGAAUGCAAAUGUUCCCAGCUUCUCACUUUGUACCUACAAGCACAUUUCUGUGCCACCGUGCGAGCCUUCCUCCUCCAGAACCUUCUGGGGGAGUCAGAGACCGUCACACCUGCCCCCGGCGAUUGUGAAUGUGAGCAUUAA
rnacentral:lncRNA from 1 species